rnacentral:misc_RNA from 1 species
GAAAUGCGAUAAGUAGUGUGAAUUGCAGAAUUCAGUGAAUCAUCGAAUCUUUGAACGCACAUUGCGCCCUUUGGUAUUCCUUAGGGCAUGCCUGUUCGAGCGUCAUCUAAACCUUCAAGCCCUGCUUGGUGUUGGGUGCCUGUCCCGCCUCCGCGCGCGGACUCACCUCAAAUCCAUUGGCGGCCCCCGCGUCGGCCACGAGCGCAGCAGAAACGCGAACUCGUGAGCCCGCCCGGGCGGCUCCCAGAAGCUACACCCACCCAGUUUGACCUCGGAUCAGGUAGGGAUACCCGCUAAACUUAAGC